AGCCAAUCUGAGAAGGCUUCAGAGAAACAGGAUCUGAAAACCAGGCUUGCUGAUAAAAAAGAAGGAAACAAAAGGCAUGCCACUGUCAAGAAAGACAAUAGAGUCCUGCAGACUUCAUGGAAUGGUAACAGGGAGAAGAAGAGGACCCAAAUUAUUGCCCAAAGGAGAGGAGAGCCCUGGAUCUCCAAGUCUCCCCCUGCAGUGCGGAUAGGACAUCCAGGAGGAAAACUGGGGAUUCAUUAAGGACCUGAAGCUCCCAUUCCUUUAAGAUGCACUCAAGCAAGAUAUUGACUGACUGUUCUGCCUAAAGAGCUAAAAUAUCCUCCUCCUUUAUAAGCGGCAAAUUAUCACACUGGACAUUUUUUCAGAUGGACUUCCAGAGAACAUAAUAGUCUUGAGAUACCUCAUCCGACCUGAAUCCACAUCACAGCUCUGAGAGGUGAAACCUUGUAAAAUCCGUGAGUCAAAUUCCUUCCUGCAAUACAAACUUCUUUCCUCAGAUGAGUUACAGAGAAGAAACCCGAGGACAGAAUUCAACUCCAGUAGGAAAAGAAUUUUAACAGUAACGAAACAAGCAACAAAACAUCAGGGCAACAUCAGGGCAUUUAAGAAACCUUCUGGGCAAAGAAGGUUGGGGGAAAUGACAUUAUUUCAGAAUUUCAUCUCUAUAAAUUACUUCAGGAUUGUGUGACAGUAAGUCUUCUCUAUUACAGCCAGCCAGUGAUGUAAUUAGACUGCCAUAACCAUUCUUAUUUUGGAUUAAGGGUAUUUUUGCUUCAUCUUGGUUUAGAUUUGUUCCUAAGUGAUAUAACUCCAGUUUAAUUUGAAAUAAAAGUGAUGCAGAUAGGUUGUAAUUCAAACUGCUUAGAAGCAGUAUGCAGGUCUGUCCAGGAUGACCUGAGGACAUCAAAAUAACAAUGUUCCUACACAGACUUGCACCCAAAUCCAGCCAAAUUUCAGCCAGUUUAAUUAUUUCAUUUGCUGUAUCACGAAGGCUAACCUACAGUUACUCCGAUAACUUUGUGAGUUCAAAGCAAGAGCCAUCCUGAAGUGCUAUUCUCACAGUGCUGCACAAUGUGUGGGGAGAUCUUUAAAGGUCAGUACACACAGAUCAGCUAAAAGCAGACCAAGAAGUGAUAGAAACAGAGCAGGAAAACAGAACGAGGCCAAGGAGUAUGGCUGACAAAAUAACCAACCCUUGGCAUGCAGUGCUGCUUGGAGAACACAGGGCUCUCUGCCUUUCUUUGGAAGCUAAGGUUUAAAUCUCAGAAAGUGAAAUGUUUUCCCUCUUAAUUGUGCUAAAAGGGCAAUGCUGUAAACUUUCAAGGACAUUUUUCUUGAGAACACAAUAUAAUAUUGGAAGGAUUCGAAUGCAUAGAGAUUUCUUCUCUUUUCUUUUUUUGUUUUCUCAUAUCGCUAAAUAAACGUUUAUUGCUAGAU